rnacentral:rRNA from 1 species
UUUCUACGUUAAUACGGUUAUUUUUGGUGUAAAACCGCGGUAUGACACCGCCCCACAGGUAGCUGCCAGGAGGCGACUGUCCUCCUACCAUAGACUGAUCCUGCGUGGAUGUCUAUCGGUAUGCCGAACAGUGUCCACCGCGGCACUGCAGGUUCUUGCUGGAGCCUCCCGGCUUGACUUGGCCGCUAAGAAAUUAGAGGUCAAAUACAAGCUGAAGCGUGGAUAACCGCUAUAGGAGAACGACUGGCUCUAUGGCGAGGACAUUGCGCGUCUAAACCGGAAGCAAAAAGAACUUCGCCUAGAGCAAUGCUUGCUAUUGAGUUGGCAAAGCAGAUGGGAUGACGACAGCGAACCAGGACGGGUGACGCACAGGUUCAUCCCGGACGUCACCCUUGUCUAUCGGGAUCCAAAUUUUGGUUUCUCGAUGAUGGCGUCUUUCUUGCUCACUGGGCACGGGUCGUUCAACGCAUUUCUGCAUGGGAGAGCCCUCAGCGAUACCACUGCUUGCGCAUCCAAUGCUUGUGAUCCAUACGAAGAUUGGGUGCACGUGUUGUGCGCCUGCCCCUAUAUGCAGAUUUGCGACACCUCGAUGGACUUGGAGUGCAGCGCGCUGGCGAGGACUGGACAUUUGAAAGAAUCCUGGAGGAUCGGGAGAGAACCCAACGGCUGGCUGUGUUCGCAGAGUUGGCGUUCCGCAGAGGAAGGGGCACUUAGCCUGACGUUUCGCCGUUUGGUUAGCGGGCGAGAAUACUGCCACAGCUUGCCGCAGCUUGUCGUCGGAGGUGACUAAUGCGGCAAUAGGUCACUCCGCCCGUGCUUGUCGGCUAGGUAGAUCUCGCUCCUCAGCAAGGGGGAGUGCUUGCCGGGCAAGCAAGCACUCGAAUUGCUACCGCGGUGGUUGCUAUGUACAUAGCUAUAGCUUCCAGACCGGCACGUUUUGUCUAGCGUAUCUGGACACAUACAUUAUAUGCGCACUUGUGGGUGUAUAGGGUGCCGUGGUUGUAAUCCCUUCAGUGUGGAACACGCCACGUAAAUCAAGUUCGGAGGGAUCCGAUUCAAACCCUGUCCCUAUCUACUAUCUAGCGAAACCACAGCCAUGGGAAAGGGCUUGGAAUAAUUAGCGGGGAAAGACCCUUUUGAGCUUGACUCUAAUCUGGCAGUGUAAGGAGACAUAAGAGGUGUAGAAUAAGUGGGAGAUAUUAGACCUCGGUUUGGUAGCGUCAAUGAAAUACCACUACUCUUAUUGUUUCCUUACUAACUUGAUUCAAUGGAACGUAUAUCAUUUCCUAGCCAUUAUACGGAUAUAUUUAUUAUAUCUUAUGGUAUUGGGUUUUGAUGCAAGCUUCUUGAUCAAAGUAUCACGAGUUUGUUAUAUAAUCGCAAACAAAUUCUUUAAUAAAACGAUGCAUUUAUGUAUUUUUGAUUUGAAAAUUUGGUAUAACUCCAAUUACACAGGUAUGAUUCAAUUCAAGGACAUUGCCAGGUAGGGAGUUUGACUGGGGCGGCACAUCUCUCCAAUAAUAACGGAGGUGUCCCAAGGCCAGCUCAGUGCGGACAGAAACCACACAUAGAGCAAAAGGGCAAAUGCUGACUUGAUCUCGGAGUUCAGUACACACAGGGUCAGCAAAAGCUCGGCCUAUCUUUUGGUUUAAAGAGUUUUUAACAAGAGGUGUCAGAAAAGUUACCAUAGGGAUAUCUGGCUUGUGGCGGCCAAGCGUUUAUAGUGAUCAUUGUGAAGCAAAAUUCACCAAACGUUGGAUUGUUCACCCAUGCAAGGGAAGGUGAACUGGGUUUAGACCGUCGUGAGACAGGUUAGUUUUACCAUACUAAUGACAAAACGUUGUUGCGACAGCAUUCCUGCGUAGUACGAGAGGAACCGCCGGUACGGUCCAAUGGCACAAUACUUGUUCGAGCGAACAGUGGUAUGACGCUAAGUCCGUUGGAUUAUGCCUGAACGCCUCUAAGGUCGUAUCCGUGCUGGACUGCAAUGAUAAAUAAGGGGCAAUUUGCAUUGUAUGGCUUCUAAACCAUUUAAAGUUUAUAAUUUACUUUAUAAACGGCAAUGGAUGUGAUGCCAAUGUAAUUUGUAACAUAGUAAAUUGGGAGGAUCUUCGAUCACCUGAUGCCGCGCUAGUUACAUAUAAAACCAUUAUUU